ACCCACCCACAGCCCACCUACAAGCCGUGUAUUACCCCUGACACGCUCACAACCUGUCCUCCACAUCACAUGGUAAUGGAUCCAGCUCUCAUUUCUCGCCCCCGCCCUCCUCGCAUAAAUAAAGUCCUUUACCGCCGGGGGUUAUUAAUGGAUCACUUGGGAUAAUUAAUUAGGGCGAUCAUAAUAAUUGGUGGUGAUUGAUGCACGCUGAUGCUGACACUGCCACACACACACACACACACACACGUCAAGUCACGCCGCGUUACCUCCUCACUCCUCACAGAGCCGUUUUCUAUGACACUUCUCCCUGCCUGCCUGCAUCUCGACUACACCUCGACUUUCAAAGGAUCUAGUUGAAGUGACACGGGUUUUCAAGGGUUUUCAAAGGGGUUUCGUGGUUCCAGUGACAGAUUAAUAAGAUUUCUAUAUUAUAUACAGGAAAAACUCUUGAGAACCUGGCUAGUCAUCUCUGUGGCCUUGGAAAACAGUAGUGGAGAGAGCGAAGCGUUUCUGAAGACAGCCACCUCAUAUCUGUUCAUGGCUCGCCGGAAACGCCCUCCCCUGCCGCUCCACGGUUCGAACCCCACUCAGCCCCUGGUGGAGAGGGACAAGUCAUGUGGCCCACUGUACCAUACCUUUUGUCAACACCACACAUACUGAGAUUGAGAAGUUGGGUGAAGAGGCAAGUGUUCAUCAUUACAAGCUGGAGAGUGUACAGGUGAUAAACAGAUGUGACCAAGCAGACUACCAUGUCUUUAUAUACAUCCCAGCAGCUCUACUACCAGCACACAGGGAAGGAAAUGAAGAUAGCAAUGUGUCAUGUACUGCUACUGAUCAUGCCAAGGCAGUCCCCCUCAGCCACAGAUAUUUCAGGCACUGUUGCAAAUGGACAAUGAAAGCGAGGAGGGAGCCAUGCAUCACUCUCUGCCAGCCCUCCACCAAGCAGAGGGCCACCAUGGCCCACACAACACAAUCAGGCACACCUAACACAGCAGAGGA